AUGAACAAAAAUGUCACUAAUUUCAGCAUAAAUGUGCUGUGUUGUUAUUUGUUAUUACUUAUAGUAUUGUCCCAGGGUAUGAAGGAGAUGCCCGUCAACCAGUCAACAAUAGGAUUUCCGAGACUACCUGCAGACUUCAGGGAAAUGGCCAAAAAAAUGAUGGGCACAUGCUUCAAGAAAGGUAAAAUUUGUCAUUAUCUGUUAACUUGGACACAUUUGGACUUACAAAAUCAUGUUGUCAAAAUGACUUAUGUGUUGCACCUGUGUUUAAUGUAAUAAAUUAAGGGAGCUAUAUUGCAUAAACCAUAAGCAAAAACAAAUGCCCAAGGAAACAGUGUAGGAAAUAUUUGCAUAUUGCAUCCAAGAAAAAAAAAAUUGUUCCAUUCCAAACUAAAUUUAUUACUAAUCAUAAUCUUCUACCGUCAUAAAUGCAAUAUAUUUUAAAGUCAGAUAACAGUUAUUCUAUAAUUUCUACCAGAAAAUGUUUGUUCUUUUUGUUUCCAGUCAUAAAGGGUGUUUGAGUUUUUCAGUCAUGCAUUGUGUCUUUUGUUAAAUGAUGUGUUUGCAUUGUUUCAGGUCACCAGGUGCCUGUUAUGAACAAUUCACUGAACAGGUAGACUGCCAUUGAGCUAAUGUUAUGGAGAAACUAUAUCCCAGGUGUAUAUUUGAAUACUAAUGAUCACAUUUCAUUGCAUGGAAAACUACUUAAACUACGAAAACUACUCAGCUCAUAUGGAAAGAUGAUGGAGAGCCCCAUCUCUAUUUUUCCAGAGCUUCUCUCCUCACUCGCCCAGUCUUUCCCCUCUCACUCAAACCUGCAGUUCAAUGAAACGGCAGAACAGCAGGACUCAGCCUGGGUAAAUCUCAAUAUCCCAAAUGCACGCAUAUGGUUACCUAUAGCUAUCUGACUCUGGGCUUCCAAUUGACUUCUAUUGUUGUUCAAGUAAGACAAUUAUAGUUUCUACACACUAACUCUUACCCAAAGCCGAACCCCGGUCCAACAGUACAACUUUUUGAAACUUUUAAAAUGAAUAAAUACAUUGUUAGGCUCA
ensembl:lncRNA